GGCCCCCUUCCUUCCUUCCUUCCUGCCUCCCUCCCUCCCUCCUCGGUGCUCCCGCCGUCCUCCCGCCGCGACCCCUCACCAUGCGUCGACCGCGCCCGGGAUGCCUGUAGGCAGCCGCUGCGCUGCGCUCCCCCUCGGCGGUGCGUGGCCGGGCCCCGCCUGACGCACACAUACACACGCGCGCGCGCGGGCCCGGGGCGACUUCCCUCCUCAGAAAGGGACGGCGCGGUGCGGCUGGGCUCAGCGCGUGGAGAGAGCUAAGGGUCUGCUUCUGGAUGGCAGCCAGGAGGUUCUCGGGUCCCCUGACACUAUUUUAAGGGUUUCUCUUAAAUUCUGGGUGUGCUCACCUUGCAUCUCGUAGUGCGUGACUUAGGUGGAGGCAGGCACGUUGCCCCGUGGGAUGCUGGGGUUCGCAGUGUCACAGAGAGCAUCCCGAGUUGGGUGCACAGGGAUCAUCGAGUGCAGCUCCUGGCUCUGCACAGGAACACCCAGAAUUCAGUCCCUGUGUCUGAGAGCGGUGUCGAGACGCUUCUUGAACCCACAGCCCUGGGCAGCCCAUUCCAUGCCCACCUCCCUCCGGUGCAGCCCCUGUCCCUGACCCCCAGCUGCCCCUCCCCUGACACAGCUCCAUGCCGUUCCCUCGGGCCCUGUCGCUGUCACACAGAGCAGAGCUCAGCGCUGCCCCUCCGCUCCCUGUGAGGAGCUGCAGACUCCAUGAGGCCUCCCCUCAGCUCCUCUGCUCUGUGCUGAGCCAACACAGGGAACUCAGCUGCUCCUCGUACCUCUUGUCCUCUGGACCCUUCCUCGUCUUUGUAGCUCUCCUUUGGAUGGGACAAAAGCAGCCCAGGUCAUACCGGUGAGAUUCCACUCCCCUCUCGCCGAGUUCUUCUUUGUUUACAACAUUAUUCAGAAACAUAUUGACAAGUCUCACGCUGUGAUUUCCAUGUAGAGUUUACAGCAGCUGCCCCAGAAACAGUCACCCAGGAAAGUUAGUGGCUAGAGAAUCUACCCACACCACCUGGACCACAGCAGAAUUUCCCUGCUGACAAAAGCAUCACUUGCUGGUGAGAGGGAACCCCUUAUGACCUGGAUCUUUACAGUGAUGCUUGCUGGUAUUAUCUUGAAAAGUGUAAGUUGCUCAUGGCAGAAGUCAGACCCUUUUCUCUGAAAGACGCAGAACGAGAAGAUAGUCACUUACAAUUAACUCCAUCAAUGUCUCCUCCUUCUUGGUAGGUCUAAACCACAAGUUGAAAUGCUGACAUCAUAUAAAUGGCUUAGGUUCAUAUGUCAAACGUGUUUCUUUCUGCCUUGCUAGGUUGUUCUGCUGCAGAGGUGCUCAUCGGCAUUUCUUGAAAUGAAGAAUGGUUUAGUGUCAAAGGUGCAAAGCAAUACUUGUCAUCAUUUUCCCAAGUGAUACAGUGAAGUACUGGAGGAGAGGGGAUCCAAUACCUCAGGAGAUCACCUUUCUCCAUCUCUAUUCCAAUAAUUUUUAUGUAAAAUACAGAACAAGAUACCUAUAAAUCACUUCUGAGGAGGACUGUGGUCCCAGAGCUCAUAGCAUUUCCUGGCUAUGUACCAUUUCAGAGCAAUUUCAUUCCAUGUAUGCCUACACUUCCACUGCAUAUCCCUCAAAUGGAUCAAGCCAAGUUGGAAAGGAGCAAAUCCCUGUGUAAACAUCAAUAUCGUCAAUUAAUUAGGAAACACAGCAAGAUAAAUAAUGAGGCCCCAAGAAAGGUUAACACCACAAAAAGAAAAAAAAAAGGAAAAAGAAGAAAGUACUGCAGUUAGCGGAGUGAAGAAACUCUUGAAACACUGUUGUCUGAAACAAAAGCAAGGCACUCUCCCUUAACACCUGAUAUAUUCCUGAAUUCUGCCUAGACGAAGGCAUGUUCACACUGAGAGAGCUGUGAGGAAGGUAGGAGAUUUAUUCUGCAUUAAUUCUUCUAUCACCAUCGUGACCUGUCACUGGCUGCACUCUACGAUGGGUCUGUGCACUGGAGUUGAAAUGAAGGACGGUUCGGUAGGUGACGGGAAUGGGAGAGUAUCACAGUUAAGACUAUCCAUGGAAGACUGAAGCACACCGGCUACAUGAAAUCUCACGUGGGGCUCUGGACCUGCUCCCUCCGUUCACAUCCCACUGAAUAAAUAAACCUCGCCCGACAAAAAGCAAUUUCACUGCACUGUGCUGAAAACUCAGUGGAAGGGCCCGCUCACAAGGAGCGUCCACGACCCCUUCGCUGGUGCUCAGUGCCUGGCAGGCUCUGUCCCUAGGCAGAAGUGAUUUCCCAAGGGACCUUGUGUCUGACACAAGGAGACAAAGGUAAACAUACUUUCUGAUUCGGCUUCUGUAUGUUUUUGUAUGCGCACAUGUGUGUGAGUGUGUGUAUAUAUAUAUAUGUAUAUAUAUAUAUAUAUUUAGUAUAUACAAAAGCAAGUUCAGUCAAAAUAUAUUUGUCUUGCUGGUCAGGCUUGUUACAGCAACCUACAAGAAACAUUAGCUUCUCUGAUAUUUAAUUAUGCUAUUAUGUUUGCACAUAAGCUUAAAAGUCAAUACAAAAAGCAAUACUUUUCCAAAUAUUAUCUGCAGGUAAACCGGAAAUAUUAACUAUAGUGAUUAGAAGUCUGUUUCCCUAUUGACACUACUAUAAAUCUUGAUAUAAGAAUAAUUUUUUCAUAAAAGCACAUCCAAACAUAGUAAGUGAUAAAAUACCAGAUUACUAUUUGAAAACCAUACAGUGACUCGAUAUCUGGGUUAUCCUUUGCAGCAAUUAGGCAAUUCAUUUGGCAUCUGUUUUGAUUGUAUAAUUUAAUUUCCAUAUAAACAGCAUAGUUUAAAAAAAGACAAAAGCUAGAAUGUUUAAAGCUAACAAAAGAUACAGUGACAUCAGGUUGACAUUCAAAAAUUUCCUUAGCAAAAUGACCAACAAAAUUUUGACUUAAUACAGUGCAUAUAAAGUUUUUUUUAGAACUAAAAUCUUUAAAUAUUAUUUGAAUUUAGCAAAACAUGAGCAAGAUUUUAAUAUCAAAGUGCUAAACAGUACUGCCUUAGAAGUCACUGCAAAUGAACUGUAAAAUAGCUCUGCUUGUGAUCUGACAGAUAUUUUAUAUACAAAUGGUUAAUAAAAAGACACGCGCACGCUCACGCACACACACACACAAAUAUAGGUAUAUACAUAUAUAUAUAUACACAUUAUAUAUAUGUAUAUAGUUUUCCAACUGGUGUAUCUGAGUCAGUGUGAACACCCCAUUUCCUUAUCGUGUGUAACAGGGCUCCUAUGAGCUGGCAGUCAUUGCAAUAAAUACAGGCAAAGCCAAUACAAUAUACCAUGCAUACAAACGUUUAUACAAAUAAAGACACUAUGCAACAAAUUAUUUCAUAUUAAUAUGGCAUCAACAGUAUAAACAUACAAAAAGGAGUACGAACACGGAAUGUUUAAACGCAGCUCACUAUAUCCUUCCUAGCACUUACAUUCAUACUAUUUUACAAGACUCGCUUGUUCUCGAAACCCAUCGUGCGUCUGUUUACUAACCAGGUACUUCUCUUGAAGUCUAAAGGCAAACUAUCCCUGAUGCAGACCCUGUGCGCUCCAGCCACUACUUACUCGCAUCUCCUGGUCUAGGGAACAACUGAGCCGCGGUCGUUCCCGUGUCUCCCACAGACAUUUGUCAGUAAGUCACGCUACACGGAGUCAAGUUUGGAAAACUCUGUCACGUAAGUUAGUGCACGUCAACUUCUCACUUGGUUUCUUCCUUUUAUUUUCAUAUUAAAAUAAAUUAGUUAAGAAACAAGACUUAGUAAGACAGCACUUUAAAAAAUUGCACUUGAACAUGGGAGCUAACAGCCAUCGUCAUUUUGCUAUAUUGGAUUUAUAUGAAAUGUUCAAUUGGAUGUACUUUGUUAAAAAAGUGAGAUUUUUGUUUCGAUUGUGCUGAUGUAUGUGCCCUUGAUGCAGGAAGUAUGCUAAAGGUAUCCUCACAAAACACAUACUACCCUGGCAAACAACUAUUUGCUGUUCUUGUUUUCAAACACACAGCUUCUACCACUGUAUUCCUCAUGUCCCAUGAGGUGUUAAACAACAGGUUUGAAACAGUCAUGUUAACCUUUUACUGCUGCUGGGAUAGCAUUGUCCAAAAGUGCCAUAUUAGCCGUUUAAAAAACCCAAGUCACGCACACGCACGCACACACACAAAAAAACCAACAAAAAAAAAAAAAAAGAAACAAACGAAGAACACAACCCCAAAACAGUAAGCCAGUAAGUUUUAGGCCUCAUGUUGUAAGGACAAAGCGCCAGAAAAGACCUCAUUUUAGAGCUGGAGCUGCUUUUCUGUUAAGUGAGGGCAGAAAUGUUAGCGGUAAGUCACGAUCCGUUUGCCUGCUCUGGUGGGCAUUUGCCUUUCAGGAGGGUGGCUGGACUCAGAAGGGCAAGGUGUCCAGAAACAGCCUGUCGAUAAUGGAAGGGGCUGGCACCAAAUCUUCCAGUUUCAGGUAAAAGAUGCGCUGCAGUCCCAGUGUGCAGAGAGAACGCAAGUCAGCAAGAACACCCAGUACCUUAGGCUCUGCGGACUCGAGCGGCUGUCCUUUGUUUUGGCAACUGAAAGUUAAGUGAUCUUUCAAACUGCUUGUGAUCUUGUUGCAUAGCUCUUCCACUUUCUUUGGUUCUUUUAAGCCAUGUCGUUCUGCAAAGUGAGGGCACGAGAGAAAAAACACAGACAUGUCAGCAUCCCUACUUCAAGUGGAGAGGACUCAUUUGCUUCAGCAUAACUAUGUGCUCUGGUAAUCGAAGCAAAAGAUGCUUCAAAAAGUGUAUGAUUUCUUUGAGCAGUUUGGGUCAUACGGUGUCAGUUGACCUUUUUGUCACACAGAAGAAGAGAUGAUAAGCCCCUGUUUCUUUUUUAACUGCUAAAAUGGGUAACAGAGAUGCUCAAUCAUGACUGAAAUUCUGGUACAAUGCAUCCGAGUAUCCUGUGUAUCUCAUAUGAUUUCUGCGAUAGGAGACAGAAUUAAUUGGGUGAUUUUCCAGCAAAACUAUCACAGGAGGUGUUUUGGAGAUUUCUGUGCUUCCCCACCAGUUGUGAAUGCUCAAUAACUAUGGCAACCAUUAUUUAUUCAGUGAAUUCAAGUGGCGAUCGAUAUCCUUAGCCAGCUUCAUCAGCGCCAGGCUCAGAAUUCCACCAGGAAUUUGCAAACACUCUUAUAAGAAACUAAAAGCAACUCGCCAUCCUUUGUUAUUUUGAUCAGCUACUGCUUUUUAACUUACUCUUCUUUAAAAGGCUCAAAAUAAAAACAGCCUGGAAGGUGACUAUUUUGCUUUGAGUAAGCAGUGCCUGAAGUGAAAAGGCUGCUGUGUUAUCCAUCACAAAAAAUCUCAACAUUCCUAAAAGCAAGGGAAGCCACGGCUUGUCCCCAUUUGAAUAGCUUUUUAAAAUGCUACAAUGCUGCUAAACACAUCCCCAGUUCUUUAAGCUUAGGUGCAAUGAAUCGGAUUUGUGAUUCAUUCAAAGCUGGCUCUUUAUUAGUACACAAGAGAGAUAAUUUCAUGUUGUUUGCUAUCGAGCUUUAGUGGAUGAAUGAAUUUAACAUUUCAGAAGAAUAAUCUCAAAUAAUUUUGUGGCCUUUUGAUUUUUCCUCUGACUUGGAAACUUACGGAUAAGUAAAAAGUGGCUUCACAACAAAGUGCUCACCAUUUACACGCAAAACAGCAUUAGACUGGAUAGAGUAGUCUAAGAUAACACAGGUUAAAUUAAUUUUAGCCAACUACAGAUGGAAAAAGCAGUGAUGGUAUAGGAUGAGCAGCAAGAAAUCAUGGCCUUUCUUCUGUUUGAUGUAUCUGAAGCUGUGUGCCUGCCCCAUUCCUGGCAGCCACGGGCCAUGUGGUGCCCAUUGCCUCAAGUCCUGCUCCUUCCUCUUUACUCCAGGAGGAAGUGGCAACAGAUACUUUCUCUGUCUACCUCCUAGUUUUCUUUACUUCCAGAAGCAGGCACAGCAGUGCCUUGCCUUGAUGUGUGUGUAUAAACUACUCAUGCCUCCUCUCACUGAUGUUUUUGGCUAGAUGCUCUUGACAAACCAAUAAAACAGAUGGAAUUCAAUGAAGGCAGUCAGAAAUGGAAAGGUCUGAUUUUCCCGUGAUUUUCACCCCUUUUACACUGUUUCAACUUUACUGACUUACGCAGAGCUAUCUCCUGAAAAAUACUAGUUUGGGAUCAGAACCAGGACGCACGCACAUACAUCUCUGGCCAGAAAGUGAAGCAAUGAAGUACCAUCAACCUGCUCUGCUGCUUCAGAGCAACGCUCAUCCAAGCGGCAGCAUCUGCUUCAGACGUCUUUUUCACCUUGAAGGAAUUAAGAAGCUUGGGUAUCCUAAGUGCUUUGUUUACAUUAAAACAUGAGGAGUCAAUGAAUAUUUAAAGCCUUUCCAGUAAAUGUUGAGUAGUGUAAUUAUGUAAACCUUAACUACACAGGUCACUAGGAGUAAAUACUUAGCCAGAUUCUGCCAUUAAAAAUCUUGGGGGAUAAAUAUUUUAUACAAAUUUGAAAAGCUGUAGGUUGUUGUUGGUUUGUUGUUUUUUUUAUACCCCUAGCCCACUGAGAAUUUGCAGGACAUUAAGUCAAUCUUGCGGUCUUUGAAAAGUUUCCAUCUUUUAAUCGGUUCUGAUGUUGUUUCCUGGCUAUGUAAGUGAAGAUAUCUUUAUAGAUCUACGGAGCUGAAAUACUAGAAUGGAUCCAACUCUGACUUCAGAAUAGCAGAACACAUUUUCAAACCAGUGCCUCAGUUGAUGUGUAUGUUGCCACAGAGUAUGGAAAAUGAUCUCUGGCUUUUGAGCACACAGCAAUGUUGUUAACAUUUCAAGUAAGAACUAAACAGUCUUUGUCUUACACUGACAAGUUCAGAAGGUUUCAUGAACGAAUUACAUCUUUGACGUCUAGCCAUGAAGCAUGCCAAUGCAAAAUACAGUGUGUGCAUAGACUGUAAUAUUAGCAGACUUACUUUAAAUAACAAAAUCAAGGAAAUUCAGGAGUAAGACAUGCUACAGCCUCAAUCUGCUCUUUGGUCCUACAACAUGAAAGCAGUCUCCAACAAACAAGAUUGUCCUCCCCUGCAUGAAUUGCCCACAUAUGAGUGUUUGAUGUUUGCUCUGUCUCUACAGAUGUCGUUUCUCACAACUGGAACUGCUUCACUGAUAGAAGGGGUUUGCAGACUCCAAUCCUUAAGGCAUCCCUUCAGGGAUCGUGAAGUCAAAGCCAUCUAUUUGGAAGCCUCUCUGCUAAUAAUGGGCACUUUGCCCUAGCAUUGCCAUUGCAAGCUGAUCGUUACCUCUCUCAGGUACACUUGAGGAGUCUUGGGUCUAAGUCACAUUGAAGGUUGAAGUUUAAUAGUUAGGGUUUAAAUAGCAGGAAACAGGUUUUCUUGCCUUUUCCACACAGCCAGUGACUUUAAGGCAAAGAAAGACCCACGUCUUUCUUAGUUAAACUGGAGGUAGCAAAAUGAGGCACCUGUGGUAAGUAGGUGCCCUGACUCUGAAGUCAGCGGUCUCCUAAUCGUUUGUGGUAUUCCACAGGAUGUUCUUAUCCACACAUAACUGAUAAGGUUAAGAUUUAUCCCAAGAAAGACAGCUAGUCAAAACCAAUAGAUUUUCUCUAACUGAUCGAGGAGGUGUGUAAAUAUUAUUGUAUUCAGACUUUCUUAUAAGGACAACUAAAAGGCAUGGAUAAAGUGAACAUAGGAUUUCUCAGCCUCGUGGUUUAGGAUACCAUUGAUUUUUACAAGAAAAAUGGUGAUUUAUGGCAAAGAUGCUCUCCGUAAGCCUGUCAAAAUGAUUCACUGGAAGUCUUGCCUUUAAAGCUCUGCAAACUUAGCAGCUCAUUCUGGCAAAGUGAACAUGGCAAGUUUCUUACACCCUUCUCCUUUUCCCACACACAAUUUCCGGGAAUCUUGAUGUGAUUCUGUGCUAUAAUUAUGCUGAUCAGAAAAAAAAACUUGAUAGGAAGAGAGUCAAAGAGCAGGAAAAGCAGUCACCAGCUGUGCCAGUCCUUUCCCUGCUCUCUGUCUUAGGGCAGAUGACACCAGGGCUAGGCAGAUUCGGUGCUACCUUCAUGAAAAACACUCUCAAAAAGAACAAGUGUUUUGAAGAUCUCGAGUAGCUGAGAGACCCUUAGGCUCUGCGCUCUGUGUCAGGGCAGGUCAGUUUUAGCUUUAAUUAAUUCUGAGGUGUCAGAAACAGUCCUGUCAGAUAUGCAGCAGAUUAAUGGUACAGACUUAAAAUAGGCCUCUUGAUUGUCUCGGUUUCAAUACAAUUAUCUGAUUUUCUCUUCCCCCUUCACAAUCCUCUUCCCCUUCUCUAACUCAAAGAAACACCAGGCUCUGUUGCCUACAGCUUUCUGAUUGCCUUAUACAUGCUUGGCUGCACAGCAAGGCAGCAACUUGACAGGCCCGGGAGCAUCCUUUCCCAUUGCAGCCUGGCCCACAUGCACCCUGCCUAACUUUCAGGCACUUCACAAAGGUCCCAGGCUGUGGGCACAGACUUCUGAGCUCCUUCUACCAUCAAUGCAAAGACAAAUGUAUUGGAAGACGGUUUGGAACUGAGGUGGGUGAACCACCUUUAAGAGGUGAGAUCUGUACUCUUCUGGGCAAAGAACCUAAAGUUAGGUGAGCUGAAUGACCAUAGAGGACAGCACAGUGUGCUCCCUCCUUUAGGAAAACUACAGCUUAACGCAGGCCACCAGGAGCUACAGGAGGAAAGACUUCUUGCUUCAUCAAAAGAGUGGGAGAGGAGAAGGAGGAGUGAGUGCUUCACUUCAGAUGCUGACAGUAUUUCCCUCAUCAAAGUGGAGAGGGGAAGGCAGACAAUGCAAUCUGGAGGGGUUUUUUUAUAAGCGGCUCUCCUACACUCCUCCAGUCUGCCACCUGCUCGUAUAUAGACCCAGCACACGAAGCACCCACUCCGGAGAAUCCUGGCAACAGGACUGAGGGUAUCUGCUGCUGAAGAGGAGGUGAGCCUCUGCCCCUGUGGCAAGUCAGACAGAAGGGAACUGCAGCAGCCAGACCCUUUUUGGCCAGCCCAGAGGCAUUACUAUUUCUUGGUACGACUGAUGAUGCUAAAAACUCUGUUUGUAAACUGCAAGGGAGAGCUCGGCAGCAGGAAGACAAAUAUAAACUCACCAUUAAUUGAAACCCCACAAUACUCUUCAAUGUUCUACUGCCAGUCUAACAAAGCAGUAAGAGUGUGAAUGAGCCUAGUAUAUACAGUGGCUCUGAACUGGUCUGUAAAAUACUUAAAUUAGAACAUAUGCCAAAAGAGCUUGGCUAAAUUAAGGCGAGAAUGCUCUGUGCUCAGCAGCAUCCCACUGAGAGUGUCAAGUGGGCAGAACAAUAAUAUUUGGAUGUGGACAGAGAAAGAAAGAGGCAGAGAGGAAAAGAGAGAGAAAGAAAUCACAAGCAGUUUUAGAGUGAGCACAAAUUUGAGCCUAAGAGUGAGCCCUGCAGAUGAUCUUCACUGUAAUCUCAAUCCUUCUAUUUUGACAUUGGUAGAAGAGCAUUAUUAGUGACCAUUCAGGAUGUUAAAGGGGUAUUUUAAACAAUAGUCUGAGCUCAUAUCUGGUCUAUUCUGCUUCUUCACCGUCAACACAGUGCAAGAAUUAGAGAAAGUCCAGCAUGAAGUGGUUGUACAAGAACACUUGUGAUCUAUGCAACUUACUAAACUAACAGAUGUCAUCAUCAUGAAACUAAGGACAGAGCCUUUCUUUCCAUGUUGGCACUCUUCUUUAGCUCAUUAUAUCCUACAUCCCAACAGAACGAGCGACCCAAAAGAAUAGGACAGAACCCAUUUUUUGCUUUCACGGGGAUGUGGGGUGAGUGUCUUCUAAUUACUUUCUUCUGGCUGAUGCUCAGAGCACUGCUGAUGUGCUCUGGAGGAAGUUGUGUCCAACCCUUCUUAACCAACUGAAGGAAGUAAAAAAGGAGAAGAGAGACAGAGAGAGGAAGAUCCUAAAGGAGUGCCUUAAAGAAAAAAGAUGUGCUAUGACAUUGGGGAAUUUUAACUGUUUGCAAGCCACUCACAAUAAACCAAAUGUCAUUCUUGCAUUCCGGGUGCUCUUUCAAGCUUAUCUCCUAUCUGAAAGAACUUCAAAAUUCAGCAGCACUCUGACAUGGUACUUUUCUUUCUAUGGGACUCACUGGAAAUUCCCAGGAAACAUCAAAUAAACAGGAAAAGCACAAAUAUAUGAUUUGUUAAUGGAUGCAAAUUUACAAAAUCUUUUCCUGUUUAUCUUAUGCUAUGCAUACCACCAGUUUUACUCAAAGUAAGCAGAGAAUUAGUGAAUACUGUGAUAUUCAAUAGGUCUCCUGCUGUUCUAUUCAAGAUUACUGAACAGAAUAAAUGUUUGUAUAUGCCGAUAACCAUGCAUCACAUACUGUGACCUGCAGCUGCAGCUGAGAUAGGACACAGGGACAGGACCUCCAGGCAGCUCAGUAGGGUUAGUUACAGGGCUUUGAAUCUACCAUGGUUGUUACUGGGGAGUUGAUUUGAUAUCCCAAAAUGAGAGAUCGGCCCUCAGCACCUUGGGACAUUGGGAACAGCGGGAUGUCUUUUACUCCCCAACACAAUGUGUUAUAUUUAUCCCUUUCUCCUGUACUGGGAGGGAGAUGUUUGUUGUUCCCAUCACCCUCACAGAACAGCAAACAUAUGAAAGCAAGCAGUGGCUUCUCUUACUUUCCUCCUUCACCAAUAAUUUCAAUGACUACAAAGGUUUUGUUUCCUAAGAACAUGUCCUUGUUUGGUAUACGGAGAGCACUCAGGAAAUCAAGCAGAACAAACAGGUCAUCAUUCUCAGGAGCAUAUUCUGUCCUAGGAGCAAGAAUUCUUAGAUUUGCUGCUACCUAAGGUGUUGUACAGUAUUUAAACCAGCUAUGACUGUUACACAUCAAGAGUUUGUUCAUUUUCUCUUCUCUUUUUUUGGCUGAGCAUUCAAGCCGUGAAAAAUUGACAAAUGUAAAAUAAGAACUGGAGCAACUUGUGUGAUAAUGAAGAAAAUGUUGCUCAAGCCAACGUUUUGUUGUGCAGCGCUUCUAAUAAAAGCAAACAACUAAAUUCACAAAACUGCAAAUGGCCUCAACACAAAAGACAGUGACACUCAGCAGUUGGAUAUCCUGUAUUCCUGUAAAAAGGUCGUUCCCUCUUGCUCUAAGUCGCAAGAAGCAUUUGAACCACGGCUUACUACCUUCUGCCUUCAACAGUUCAGUACAGGAAAGAAGUGUCUUCUCUGUAGGAUAAACAGUGGCACAAAAACAUCCACCUGAAUCUAAGCCAAGACUCAAAAAAGUCACUUAAAAAUGCUCAACAGAUACCUGAUUUCCAAAAUUAAUCUUCACUGCUCUUCCUUUUUGGUAGGACUGUCUGAAAACCAGCAUCUGACUUGUCAUACUCAAAAUGUCAAGAGAAGACAGGAUGCCAUUUCUCAUGGGCAAAUCUCAAGGCUUUCCUGAUUAUGAAUAUUACAAAUAUACUACUGCUGAGAAAUUCUCAGCAGAACCACCACCUCAGCAUUUAGUGAUCAGCCACAGCUACCUGAUUUCCUCACUCAUUUUCCAUCUUUUAGUAUUGCUCAUCUUUAUACAGUACCAUCCAUUUUCAGGUGGCCAAAUUUCUGACUGAGUCCCUAAGUGCCCUUAUCUGAAACCUGUGAAUACAAAUCACUAGACACGGGAGCCUUGAUCUAAUUUAGAUUGCAUGGAGGGGUACACUCUUCCGAGAGCAAAUCAGCAGAGAUAUUCUGGCAUUGUGACACAAAAGAAUAAACAGAAAACUACAUGAAUUUUAAGCACCAUCUCAUACAGGGGAGAAAACCACAGAAUCACAGAAUCAUAGGGGUUGGAAGGGACAUCUGGAUCAUCCAGUCCAACUCCCUGCUAAAGUGGGUUCCCUACAGUAGGGUGUACAAGAAAUCAAGAAAAAAUUGACAAAUACAGAAAACCUUAAAGCUGUUAGGGACAGAAAUGCUCUCCUUCUAAAAGCAAGAAUUAUUUCUAUUUGUUUAGAAACUUUGAGAAGAGCAGUACAAGAUAGCAAACUCCUGAGAGGGCUGUUAGCAAUGAAAGGAAGGAUUGUGGGGCUUUAUCAAUUAAAAAAUAUUUCUAUUAAAUACUGUAUGGCGAUCUGAGCCAGUCACUGGACAACCCGGACUCUUUAAAGACAACCAAAUAGUGUCUGACUCAACAAAAAGCAGGACAUGGCUUUGUAAGGAGAAAAAACUUUUCAUCCUAUAGAACAGCCUUAUCUGUAGUGAGACUGAUAGUUUGCAGGGGCUCCUCUUUAUCUACCUAUAUCCUCUCAGUCAGAAAGGUAAUCAAGAACAAGCUCCAUCAGUCUGUGUCUACCUAAAAAGACAUGUCAAAUAUAUCAGAAAUUACCUAAAUCAACGGCAAGCACUGCACAUAUGUGAGCAUAUAUGCCUGUGGAUACAUAUAUGUGGAGAGAGAUAGUAACUGUCUUUGAUUUACAGAUACAUAAAUGCACACACACACAUACUGUUUGCAUAUAGUUAUGUACAUAUGCACACAUAGGUAAUUAUGCUUACGUAUGUGUGCUUGUGUGCGAUCUCUGCAUAAGGAAGUCAAAAAUAAGUUGGGAAUGUUCUUUACGACUUUAACAUAUCAUUCAUUUUGGAUUUUUUUUUUCAUGUGGCACAAAGCAACCCCAAAUUAUUCUGGACUUGAGAGUUUUAUCAAAGAAAGCAGAAUCUGGACCUUAGCAUACCCUUUCCAAAAAAAGAAAUCAAAUGUAAAUUAACUAAAACCUGAGAAUACUUCUGGCAAUCAGCAAAGCAUCAGUGCUACAACAACUAUAAGCAAACCCCACUCUCCAACAAGAGGGAAGUGUACCACCUAAACUCUGAAGCCAAAAAUUUAGCCCUACAAAUGUCAGUGGGAAUUGGUCAAUGUACAGAUUUUUGCAUUUGCCACUGAGCAUUUUAUUGCAAUGUUUCCCAAGCAUCAACUCAUCCACAGAAGGACUGCAGCUGAUUUAGUUGAGGUUACGCCUGCAAACUGGUAGUUGCCUAAAACACUGGAGGAAAUCAAUAUCCACCCCAUCAGGGCUCCUAGCAUCCCCAGGCAGACUCAGCUCGAGGCAUGCUGAGGUGCUGGCUCAUGCUGUCAUCACACCUGCAGCACCUUUCUGUUAGCACCUUUUCUGAAAGGAGAGUCAGGCUUUCAGCUGCCCUGAGUUCCUGUGGCUUGUCAGACACCCUCACUCCUAGCACUCCUCGCCCCUCCUGCCUCUCCAGCCGUGCCUCUUAAACUAUCAAAAGCCCAAAGUAUGCAGUGCGCGCUUCAAGGGGCUUUGUUGGUUCAGGGAUGAGAAAGUGACACUUCAUAACAUUAUGCUCCUCUGUUUUGUACUUCCUAGCCAGAUUUUUUUGCGGGUUCUUACUUUAGUUUCUGGCUGUUCACCCCGCCAGGCAGAAGGGGAGGUAUGGUCACAUAUCUUGGCACACCCAAAAGCUUUUGUAAAGCUGCAGAAGAGACCUUUUUUCUAACUUUUCUCCGAUUUUUCUCUCUCAACAAAUCAGAAUACAGAAUACCUACAGCAUUCUAUGCUAUGCUCCCAAAAGCAGCACUCUUUCAGCCACCGUGCUAUACUAGCCGUCUAGCUUCUAGCUCUCAACUAACAUCACCCUGAUGUUAGUUUUCCCAUGCAGAAGACUUUGCUCUGGUGAUUUGUUGUUUUCUAGGAAUUUAGCGAGGAUUUCAAAAGCUUUUUGUAGGAGCUGCUCAGUUUGCUUGGAAGCAGUUUGAUUUUUAGAGACAGUUCCAAGAAAACAAUGAAAGCAAGAAGAAAUAAAGAGUUAGAUUAUAGUUUAAUAGAUAUAUCUGACGGUCUACUGUUACAGUCUCCAAUUUCAGGGAGGCCAUUACAACACUUAAAACCUGCAAUUACUUUAUCCGGGACAUCGCUAAGUUAACUGAAAUUGCCUGAAUCUAUGCUAAAGUAAAGCACUGGAGUCUGAAGCAUUACAGUAACAAAGGAACGCUUACCUGUAAUCAUAGUUAGAGCUGAUAAACUUGCUAAGGCUGGGAUAUCAAGGUUAAGGCUCUUUAAGUUUAAGGAAAAGUCUUUAAUAGAGUCGAGCCACUCCCCAAAUCCACGAAGGCACUGAAGUCUAUGAAGCACAAGUCCAUUGCAGAAUACAAACUUAUCCUCAGCAGUAUCAGACCUCAAAUAAAAAUAAUUGAAAAAAUUAGAGACGCAUCUUCCACUUUACAGCAAAAUGCAUAACCAGUAUUGAAGUGUCUGUCAUUUAAAAUCCAAGGCACAUUAUCCUGAGACAUAUGUGGGCAUUCACGUUUGACAAUAUGCUUCUCCCUUGGGGCAAAAGUACAACAAACAAGCUUCUAUGAUUGCUUACUUCGUAGAGUUAUAAGCCCGAGGUUAGCUGUAGCAUGUGGUGUAGACUGUCUAAUUAGUUAAGAUUUUGGUCCUGCCCAAAGGCAUAAACAGAGAAGACAUUUUACAUUAAAUACUGUAUGUUUGAAUUGCAGUAAUACUACGUGCGUGCAUUUUGAACUGCAAAACUAAUAAAAGCUGAGGAGAGAUGGGGUUCUGCAACUCUCAGUACUUAUUUAGUCUGAUCUGCGUUUUUCCUAUUGUAAAAAUUAAUAGAGAAAAAAACAAUGGAAAACGCACGCAAUAAUGCACAAUAAACACAACAUAAUAGGCUCUUCUAUGCGAGAACCUAUUGCAAGAGUGAUGUUACUGCCAAGUUCUCUCUCCUCCCACCCCCCACUGCCAGUAUCCCUGUUAAGAGCUAUGUGCAAAGGUCAUUUUUGACCUAAAGAAACAAGGGCGUAAUUCAAAUCACCGGUGUGGAAUUCCUCCAGUCCCUGAAAGUGUCUUUGGUGAAACAUCUUAACUGGUGCCAGGCUGACAGAUAGCACCUCGCUCUGUUGAGUGACUUGGUAUUAAGGGGAAAAAUAAUCCGAGCAAGACUUUAAAGCUUCUUUAGCCCUUUCAAAAACAGACUACAGAGGUGCGCAUGCAUGAAAAAGGAAAGGAGAAAAAAGGAGAAGCUUCUAUACUAAAGUGCUUUUAUAUAGUUUAUGGUGAUGAGUAUGAAGCAAAGUUGUUCAAACUGUACCCAAAGACCAAUUUUGAUUACUACGGAAGAAGAGGAUGUGGUACAUCAAAUACAAAGAAGCGCAUUAGUGAGAACUAUGCUCCCUUUUUCAAUGACUGCCUUAUUUUUUUUUCUGCAGUGUAAAACAAAUUAUCCAUCAUCUCUAGCGGAUGCAGACAUUGUUGUUUUCUAUCAUCAUUUUGUUUGUUUGUUUUUUUUGCAAUUGACUGCAUUCCAACAUAUCACCGUAUUUCAUCACAGAAUUAUCAUAGUAUCAUCAUAGAAUGGCCUGGGUUGAAAAGGACCACAGUGGUCAUCGAGUUUCAACCCCCCUGCUAUGUGCAGGGUCACCACCCACCAGACCAGGCUGCUCAGAGCCACAAACGUGCAGAUGGGUGAUUUUUCACAUCAGCUGAAGAGGAAAUGGAAUAAUUAGUUACCUGAUGGAGAGUCUUAGUACAAACAGCUCCAAAAAAGCUGAUUCUAUGAGUAAUGUCUGAUCUUCUUUCGGGAGGUCAGUAAAUCCUGGAAUUUUUUCUGCCCAGCCUCUGGAUAUGUCAAUGGAGGCAGUCAGAAGAUUAUAGAACUGUUGUACAUGUUCUGCAUCUGUGCCUGCAGCAGCCUGAUCGGUGGAACAGUACUGAAAGAAAAACCACAGAAAGCAACAUUACAACAUGACAGGCAUUUCAGGGCAUCCUGAGGAGCAUAUGGUGCUACCUGCCUAGCAGUGCUUCCUUCUGCGGCAACGCUGGCACAAGCAUCUAAUGCACACUGAGCAGGUGUCCAUCUACCUACCUGCUUAGCUACCUGCAGGCAUUUUGCUAUUCAGAUGUAUAUUGCAAAGACAUUUCCACAGUUAGAGAAAUGGUUUGAAAUUUGUAAGUAAUAUGCAGUAUUUAUCACAUUUUGCAAGUAGCUCCAUGCUAUUAGCAAACAGAAACAGCAGUCUGGUGGGGAGGAUAAUUUCAACCACAAUAAAGGAGGAACACUAUUUAGCUUACUGCAAUUAAACAUUUUUCCCAUUGAUGAAUUUGUCUCAGUAUGUCCAAAAUGCAGAUUUCUUCCCCAGCCUCUCAAACUGCAUUUUAUCAGACAGUGAUAGAGACACGCAAGAUAAAUCAUCUUUUAUCUGACACGUGCAGCAUGACUUCAUUUGAAUACAGAAUUGGUUGAAAGUAAACCAGCUGCCCCGUAUCACCUCUUAUCCUGCAUAGAGAAGCGUUUCAGGCUCAGGAGAACCUAUUAUCCCACUGAUUCGGCCAUAACUCUUCCAGACGACCGCUCGACAGCCACAGCUUGCAGAACUUCCCCACAGCCCUCGGGCAGCUCCCUCCCUCCACUCCCUCACUUCCUCAGCACUGGAUCCCUGUCACUCCCAGGGCACCGCUCUUUUCGAGAGAAAAUGUAAUAGGAGCUUUGGUGGCUUAGUCUGAUUCUGUGCUUGGAAAGUAACAGGAACCUGCCCACCAGGCAUCGCGUGGGGUAUUUCUGGGAGGGACUCUGUAUGAGCCCUACCUCUGAGACUCAGCCAGGGAAAGGAUGGGGCGAUCUCCAUUAGUGCAUACCCGUUGGAAGCUAGUUUCCACACGCAGUUAGGCCUGGGCCCAUCAGCCUAAAGGUAUUCCUAGCAGCCCAAGCCAGAGGGGAAGCAGAAGGACCCACAUCUCCUUUCCAUUGAGCAUCGUGGGAGCCUGGAGGGAUCUUACUACAGGCAUACCCCUUUGGCUGAACAUAUCACCCAACGUCCCCUCUGUGCAUGACAGAGAGGGAGGAAUGGCAAGCACAUCCUCUUGGGUAGGCGUCCUGCUCCCUGCCUGCCCUAGUUGGAGCUGGUUGCUGUGGGUAGGAAAGGAAUGAAUGAAGGACAGAGUUUCACAGAUUGAUUGUUGAACCGCAGCAGAGACAUGAGAAGUCCUAGAAACCUCUGGCCAUAUCUAGGCUGUCAGUGCUCACAUGGAGACACAUUCUGCCACAGCCACUCUGAAGGAGGACAGAGAUGCAAGAGGGAGGAUAAAAUACACAGAAGACGGGAAACAGCAGUAGAAAAUUUGUACACUGCAAGAGGUUUAUCUGUUCAGUCCUCCAACUGAAAGAAGCUGAUGAGGAAACUCAAGCAGUGCAAAGCACUACUCCUGGCACAGGACUGCAGCACAAUGAAUGCGCUGGAGAACAGUUAGUGGGUAGAAAAAGAUGGUAUGCAGAGACCUUGCAGCCCCAGGUAAUGAAGCUGAGAUAGUGAGUGUGAGGUGGUGGGCUAGUCCACCUUGUGGUCUUCAGCUCCUCAAACUCUAGAAGAUUUGCCCUGCUUUGCAGGUGAGGUGACUGAGAUGAGGUGACUCCUUUUAAUGUGAGAAAAUAGAAAAUAUGGGCUGAUGGAAAUUCCUGCCUUGCCUACAGGUAGUGUUAAGGCAAGGCAAGUUCUUGACCCUCUGAUCAAUGAAAAGAGGGGAAAAGAAAAAAGAUACUACCCUAAAUUCACCCAAAAUGCAACACAUUGCAAGUUGGUGUAAUGAUAUCAGGUAUUAACUUCUUCUCAAUACUUAUAAAGCAUUCCUUCAGCAAAAGUAAGACCAAGUUUUAAUAUUGCCCAACAAAGCUGAAUGCUGCAUUAUGUCACAUGACUGAAUGCUACAGUACUGUAUACCCCACGUGGGCCACUUAAUUAAAUUGAAUGCACAAAGAAAAAGAAAUUAACCCGUAUAUGUUGUUACAGUUCAGCCCAUGAGAGCAUUUUUAGAAGAAAGGUAAAAACUACAAGGAAUUAUGCAGUUUUGAACUGCUAUAACAUGUCACUGCUUGCUACACAGAGUUAGCACUUACAGAGAAGAGCUGAAAUACAAUAUUAUUUACUUCCACCGGUCUUAAUGAGUAUAUAAGAAGGCAUAAAAAAAAUGUAUGCUUCAGUUUUAUGCACAAAAAACUUUUUUCUUCUUUUUCCCCUCGUGAUUAUUUCAUUGAGGAGAAUCAUAGAAUGGGUUUGGUUGGAAAGGACCUCAAAGAUUAUCCACUUCCAACCCCCCUGCCAUAGGGAUAUCCCCAAAAGGGAUAGCUCUGCCCUAUGCAGUGCUUGCCGCCCUGCUAGGAAUUAAACAACUCCGACUGGCUCAAGGGGGAGAUGUGUGCCUUGCAAGCAACGCUGAUUUAUAAGGUAUAUCUAAAAGGCUGAUAGCUUGAUAGCAUGAUCCAGCCCGACCCUUUGCCUACUUUUAUCAGACCUCCAUGGACUGCUGGAGCUACAAAAGUCUAACAACGGUGGUGUUGCAUAUUUACAAUACGAUAGCUAGAAGCUAGGCUUGUUUCUCCGUGCAUCUACCCUUCCUGUGUCAGAAGCACCGACAUUUGCUACAUUUUUUAGUUGGGGAUUGGAGCGGGAUUAUUGGCUGAAUGCCCCUCCAAAAAAUAAACACCUCCAUUUAAGUCGGUGGCUGCUUUGCCUGAAGAAGGGCAGCAAGAUACAGGGUCUGCUUCUCAUCUCACUUACUGAGAAGUCUAAACCCGUGGAAUUGUACCAGUGAAACAGGUGUGAGACCUGACCACGGCCCUUGGCCUUUAAAAAGUUCAGAAACCAAAUUCUCUUCCUAGCAAUUGCUUUUUGAAACCAAGUACCUAAAUAUACCAUUGCUGUGGGCUGGUAAGUUAAAACCAGUGCUGAAAUGAGAAGUAGCCAUGUUCUCAACAGAACUGGUUCCACUGUGUUUUGUUUUAAAAUUCACGGAUUAUGCAAUUUAAUUUUGUUUUUUGGUGUAGAUGGUUGCAUUUGUUUGGAGGGAAGAGGCGCACGUUCCUCUCUGAAACUCUUAUCUGUAUUUUUGCAACAGUCAAGACGUUGCAAACAUCUUGCAAACAUGAAGACCAUGCUAAACAUUAAGGUCGUGACUAUGGAAGCGUUAGGACUGACUCCAAGCCAGGCUUCCAGAUCCACCCAUUUGUGGUGCACGGCAGGGUCACGGCCGAGCAGAGCGUGCCGCAAGCCCGUCCUUACAGGUACAGGGUCCUUCACAUUAGUUUUGAGCUUUACAGUGGGAUUCCUGCAUGUUUCUGUUAGUUAAUCUCAGUGUCUACUCAGCAGUCCUAUCUGAUUUCCCUUAACUUUUUAAAGAAGUAUAAGGUUCAUGGAAAGCAUGUGAAUCUAUUGCUUUCAUUUAGCUUAUUUUUUGUAUUUUCAGUACUGCCGAGCAUAACAGAUUAGUGUAUGAUUUAAUGUUAAGAAAAACGUAGGUAUUAGCGUGUCCUAACAGACAACCAUACAUAAUCUUUUAGCUACCGAAACUAAAUUAAUCUGCUGUCAAUCCCAUGCUUUCUGUAACGACCAACUGGAUUGUUCAGCAGUGAGACCUACGGACUGUUUCCAUUUGAACAGGAAUAGCUGCCGCAGGAUGAAGAAGAAAGUCACAUUAAAAAGGUCAGAGUUUUCAUUUAAUUGCUAUUAUUUAGAGUGCAAAAUAAUGUUGCUUCUAUAGGUAAAUACGUGAGAUUGGAUAAUGCUCUCAUGGACUGAGCUGUCAUGCUCAUGUAACGCUAAGGAACCCAGCAGAUUCCUGUCCAAGAGCUCAGCUGGACGUGGACCUUGGUGUUUGCAGAACGACCCCGAGACUCUCUGGGCUGUCCGUGCGGACAACUGCACAGAAAAGAAGGGGAUCAGUGGUGAGGACACGGUAAAACGACAGAGCAGCAUGAGCACCUGCUUCCCCUGCGAUGGCCAGCCCAGCAAAAAUAAGAGCAUUCUCCAAUUUCAGCACAUGCUGUUGAUGCCUUUGAUUGCAAAGAAACACAAAUGGUACCAAAACCGCUUAAAACCAUGACCGUAAGCAGCAGAAUAACUGCUUCCUUGGAGCCCAGCUGUGUUCCUAGCGCUCGUGCUUUGUUUGCAGCACGCCUAUGUGCCCCUAUAUGCACACACACAGCCCUACUGCUGAAAGAAAACAGAGUGUGAAACACAAAUGUCACCUGCUAUAUGGCAGGGCUGUUCUUUCACAGUAACUUUAGCUUUCUCAAAGCGGUCAAAAAAUAUGGUCACACUAUAUAGGCUGUAUUUCCCCUGUCAGUAUUUGCAAUAGGACUGCUCACACAGUAUUACUCACAUACUUAAAUAUUUGCAGAACUGGGACUAAUGAGUUGAUCCAGUUUCCAUUUAAAUUAAUUGCAAAUUUACAAUCAGCUCGUGGCCACGAGACAAGAUCCUAUGCAAAAAGGCACCCAAGACAACGGAACACCGACGCUGUAAGAUAACGCGUGGAAGCCAACCGCAUUAUUGAAUGGCAUUUAAAGUUCAUAAAGGACACGUUUUGGCCAGGGUCAAAUUAUCCCCUUGUGACCUUGCGAUCCUUGAACUCCGGGCUCCCAGAAAGUCUAAACACGAUAAACCCACUCAACUGGGCGACAGGAAAAAAAAAAUAAUCAACGUGUUAUUGCACAGAUGCACGAAUCUGGGGGGCCGCUAGGAAGCUAAAAUUGCCAAGUCCAUAGUAAAGACAUCUACGUCCCCCCCCCACGCACACACAGACACACACACACACGUGCUCGUUAAACGUAGCGCUCCAGCAUUCGGGAUAAUAAUAGCAGUAGCCCUCACC